ensembl:lncRNA
CGAGACCACUGUCGCCAGCGUACAGCGGCUUAAUGACGCAGGGGAACCGAAUGAUUUACACAAACAAAACGGUGUACAGCCUCUCUCAGCCCCAUACAGUCCAAUCAGUCUGACUCAGGCCAGGUGAGGCUGCCUCAACCAACCACCAUCCACACACAUGCACCCAAAUAUGUUCUUCUUAACACAACAAACGAUACCAGGAUUUGGCCAGAAAGGCAUUUGGAAAAGCCCACUCCAGACCUUCUCUCCACAUUGUCCGAGUGAUUACAGUGUCUGAAGUGUGAAUUGGGUUGUCUCAUCAACGGGUGAAAUUGCCUUAAUGACACCGAAGAAGCUCAGCUGGCCCAGUUGGUCCCCAAUCCCACAUAAUCACUCCUAUAUUCGAUACUGUGGAUCUCUGUGCUGGUCUCCUGAGCAUUAAAGAAACAUAAAACAAAUCCAAAUGUGCAAAUAAAGAGCUUUAGGAUUUUCCUGACGAAAAAUCCAAUUUCGAAUGGUUUUG